rnacentral:rRNA from 1 species
AUUGAACGCUGGCGGCAUGCUUUACACAUGCAAGUCGAACGGUAACAGGCCUUCGGGUGCUGACGAGUGGCGAACGGGUGAGUAAUGCAUCGGAACAUACCCAGUCGUGGGGGAGUAACGUAGCGAAGUUACGCUAAUACCGCAUACGUCCUGAGGGAGGAAAGCGGGGGAGUCGCAAGACCUCGCGCGAUUGGAGUGGCCGAUGUCAGAUUAGCUAGUUGGUGGGGUAAAGGCCCACCAAGGCGACGAUCUGUAGCGGGUCCGAGAGGAUGAUCCGCCACACUGGGACUGAGACACGGCCCAGACUCCUACGGGAGGCAGCAGUGGGGGAAUUUUGGACAAUGGGGGAAACCCUGAUCCAGCCAUGCCGCGUGCGGGAAGAAGGCCUCGG